ensembl:misc_RNA 7SK 7SK RNA
GGAAGAUAUGUCUCCAAACAUCUACCACCUCAUUGAUCACUAGGGUUGAUUUGACUAAUUUGGUUGUCUAGGUGGUUGUCUCCUUACUCCAAAUGCUUCCCUCCCAAAGUUAUGUGCUUGGUAGAAGAAGACAACUUUCCUCAAUAGAGGAGGAUCUUCCUUUGAUCAAUGGUAUAGUAGUAGUUGUGCUCUCCAGCUAAUACUCUCUCAAGAAUUGGAGACACUGAAAUGAAAUCAAUCAGUAUUCUUUAAAAUGAAAAACACAAUAAAUCAAAUUU